CACGUAGGGCGCGAGCGUUGUCCGGAAUUAUUGGGCGUAAAGAGCUCGUAGGCGGCCUGUUGCGUCCGCUGUGAAAGCCCGGGGCUUAACCCCGGGUCGGCAGUGGAUACGGGCAGGCUAGAGGUAGGUAGGGGAGAAUGGAAUUCCCGGUGUAGCGGUGAAAUGCGCAGAUAUCGGGAGGAACACCGGUGGCGAAGGCGGUUCUCUGGGCCGAUACUGACACUGAGGAGCGAAAGCGUGGGGAGCGAACAGG
rnacentral:rRNA from 1 species